GGGGUUGUGACUCAGUGGUAGAGUGCUCGCCUCGCAUGUGUGAGACCUGGGUUAGAUCCUCAGUACCACA
rnacentral:tRNA from 1 species